UACACAGGACAUUUUCUCCCAAAAAGACGUUUCACUCACAGGAACACUGUCUCUGAAUGAGCUCAGGAAUGCUGUCAUGGCCUCAGGAAAGCGUGUCAGCGAUGACAUGCUGAAUUUGAUGGCUCUGCGCUACGGUGCCUCCUCUGGACACAUGACACUGGAGAGUUUCAUCAGUCUCAUCCUUCGCUUCGACUGCAUGUCCCAAGUCUUCAAGCAGCUGUCUGAUGGAACGGCCAUGACUCUUGGUGAAUCAGAGUGGAUGUACCUUUCCAUGUACACUUAAACUGACAGAGAAGAUGAGCUGCAGGACUCAUUUGGAACAACUGCAGCAGACGAUGUGCAAAUAGAAUAAAUGAACAAAAAAAGUAAUCUCUUUUGCAAGUUAGCUGUUCUAUAUUUUUUUAACUACAGGUCGUUUCUUUCACUCCAUUGCAAAGCUGAGUGGGAGAACAAAUUGGAUACACACACACAGAUAUGCUAUCAGAUACUCUGAAUAAUUUUUUUUUUACAAAUGCUUCACUGAAAACUGGCAAAAAAAAGGUCAAAUCAUUCUCUGCGUGCAUCAUGGCUACACCCCUAGUCAAUGUACUAAUGUGCAAAGUUGUCUCCCUGAAUGGGUACUGUUCAUUUUAAGUGGGUUAUUGCAUUUUCUGAUUUGCUAUUAGAUGGAAAUACUAUUUUUGGGGGCCAUGCAAUAAGCAUGUUGCCCACAACUUUGGUUCAAACUUGCAUAUUUCAACAUUUAUAGAUGAAUUGCCAUAAAACCUGGUUUGUAGCAUGUAUCAGUGGUACCCAUGAAGCCACAUCACUUUCUGUAAUCUUCCACCUUUGUCUCUAUAUGAUUACCAUGUUGUUAACAGUGAAUAUGUUUACAUGAACAGCAACAUUUCAAUAUUAAUCCGAUCAAGACACUAGAAUAAGACAAUGUCAUAUAAAGAGAAUUUAUUGAUUACUUUAACCUGAAUAAGGUCCUACUCAGAAUAAGCAAUAUUCAAAUCAAGAAAUGUGGAGUAUUCCAAGCUAAGUCAGAUUAUGUAGACAUGUAUAUGUCUUAAUAACAUUAAAAGGUCCUGCUGGAGUUUUCAUUGAAUUUUGUGACAUCGGCAUACGGCAGUAACCAACUGCUAGAUGACAUUUGCCCUGGGUGUAAACAAGAUGCUAUUUCAAGUUGGGGUUUUAAAUCUGUCGGAUUGACAUCGGACAUAAUGACUUAGUGGACAUAGUGAUGAGUCCUAACAAGACUGCUCUGUGACAUGUAAACAGGAAUAUGAAUUGAAUUGAAUUCUAUUAGCAACUCAUGAAAACAACAUAAUCAACAUGAUGUCUUAUUCUGUAUGAAGGUCAACAGUCGGAAUAUUGGUGUCCAUGUAAACAUAGUAACUGAUGGUUUUGAGUGUAAUUUCAUGAAUACUAUCCAGUAAUACGAUUGCCACGCAGGGGGAAUUAGCCAAUGUUAGCAUGCUAGCGUGCUUAAAUAAGAUUGUGAGUAUGGUAAAUGUUAUACCUGCUAAUUAUCAGCUUGUUAGCAAUAAUGUUAGCAUACAGUAGUUAACAUGUACAGUACAAGUCUUGUGAAAUCUAACAUCUAGUAUCUUGGAUUGAAUAUUAGUAGAAUUAUUUUAUAUGUGGGGUAAUGCUUUUUCAGUUUUAGGUGGGAGUGUUAUUUUUUUCUACUUUAUUAUUUUUUUGGUGCGAGUUUUUUGAUUGAAUUUAACAAAAUAAAGAUAUUAUCCAGGUUUAGUGUAUGAACAGUUCUUUCAUAUUUUAAAUUCCUUGCAGAUAUCUUGAAAUGUGGGAAAUAAAGGUUAAAUAAAGUGGGCCUUUUGAAAAUGGAUUCAGAAAAUAAACGUUGGUGACAAAGCA